rnacentral:rRNA from 1 species
UACGAAGGGGGCUAGCGUUGUUCGGAAUCACUGGGCUUAAAGCGUGUGUAGGCGGACUUCUAAGUACCUUGUGAAAUCCCACGGCUCAACCGUGGAACUGCUUGGUAUACUGGUUGUCUUGGGCCAUCUAGGGGCGAGCGGAACAAACGGUGGAGCGGUGAAAUGCGUAGAUAUCGUUUGGAACGCCAAUGGUGAAAACAGCUCGCUGGGGAUGUGCCGACGCUGAGACACGAAAGCCAGGGGAGCGAACGGG